GACGAACGCUGGCGGCGUGCUUAACACAUGCAAGUCGAACGGGCCUGUCUUCUUUUUUGGGGGUGUGUUGAGUGGCGAACGGGUGAGUAUCACGUGAGUAACCUGCCCUUCGGUCCUGGAUAACCGCUUGAAAGGGCGGCUAAUACGGGGUGGUCCGGUUGGUCCGCAUGGGCUGGUCGGGAUAGAUUCACUGUUUUUGGUGUUUCGGCGGGGGAUGGGCUCGCGGCCUAUCAGCUUGUUGGUGGGGUGAUGGCCUACCAAGGCGGUGACGGGUAGCCGGCCUGAGAGGGUGGGCGGCCACACUGGGACUGAGAUACGGCCCAGACUCCUGCGGGAGGCAGCAGUGGGGGGUAUUGCACAAUGGGCGGAAGCCUGAUGCAGCGACGUCGCGUGAGGGAUGGAGGCCUUCGGGUUGUGAACCUCUGUUUCCGGUGGUGAAGGCCCUGUCCGUGUGGUGGGGUUGACGGUAGCCGGGGAUGAAGCGCCGGCUAACUACGUG
rnacentral:rRNA from 1 species